UACGUAGGGGGCAAGCGUUGUCCGGAUUUAUUGGGCGUAAAGAGCGUGUAGGCGGUUAGGUAGGUCCGUUGUGAAAACUCGAGGCUCAACCUCGAGACGCCGAUGGAAACCAUCUAACUAGAGUCCGGAAGGGGAGAGUGGAAUUCCUGGUGUAGCGGUGAAAUGCGCAGAUAUCAGGAAGAACACCCGUGGCUAAGGCGGCUCUCUAGUACGGUACUGACGCUGAGACGCGAAAGCGUGGGGAGCGAACAGG
rnacentral:rRNA from 1 species